GAUCAGUGGCGAACGGGUGAGUAACACGUGAGCAACCUGCCCCAGACUCUGGGAUAACCCCGGGAAACCGGAGCUAAUACCGGAUAUGACACUCGCACGCAUGUGCAGGGUGUGGAAAGUUUUUCGGUCUGGGAUGGGCUCGCGGCCUAUCAGCUUGUUGGUGAGGUAGUGGCUCACCAAGGCGACGACGGGUAGCCGGCCUGAGAGGGCGACCGGCCACACUGGGACUGAGACACGGCCCAGACUCCUACGGGAGGCAGCAGUGGGGAAUAUUGCACAAUGGGCGAAAGCCUGAUGCAGCGACGCCGCGUGAGGGAUGACGGCCUUCGGGUUGUAAACCUCUUUCAGCAGGGAAGAAGCGCAAGUGACGGUACCUGCAGAAGAAGCACCGGCUAACUACGUGCCAGCAGCCGCGGUAAUACGUAGGGUGCGAGCGUUGUCCGGAAUUAUUGGGCGUAAAGAGCUUGUAGGCGGUUUGUCGCGUCUGCUGUGAAAAUCCGGGGCUCAACCCCGGACUUGCAGUGGGUACGGGCAGGCUAGAGUGUGGUAGGGGAGACUGGAAUUCCUGGUGUAGCGGUGGAAUGCGCAGAUAUCAGGAGGAACACCGAUGGCGAAGGCAGGUCUCUGGGCCACUACUGACGCUGAGAAGCGAAAGCAUGGGGAGCGAACAGGAUUAGAUACCCUGGUAGUCCAUGCCGUAAACGUUGGGCGCUAGGUGUGGGACCCAUUCCACGGGUUCCGUGCCGCAGCUAACGCAUUA
rnacentral:rRNA from 1 species